AGGAGCCGUGUGCAUUAAUAGUGCAAGCACGGUUCUGUGAGGGAGGUGGAGUUCAAUUUACCGCAAGGUAAAAAGGCUCCCUUCUACUCGAC
rfam:Bacillus sp. LF1 genome assembly, contig: CONTIG000005